rnacentral:rRNA from 1 species
CCUACGGGAGGCAGCAGUGGGGAAUAUUGGACAAUGGGGGCAACCCUGAUCCAGCCAUGCCGCGUGUGUGAAGAAGGCCCUCGGGUUGUAAAGCACUUUCAGUGAGGAAGAACGCCUGGUGGUUAAUACCCAUCAGGAAAGACAUCACUCACAGAAGAAGCACCGGCUAACUCCGUGCCAGCAGCCGCGGUAAUACGGAGGGUGCGAGCGUUAAUCGGAAUUACUGGGCGUAAAGCGCGCGUAGGUGGCUUGAUAAGCCGGUUGUGAAAGCCCCGGGCUCAACCUGGGAACGGCAUCCGGAACUGUCAAGCUAGAGUGCAGGAGAGGAAGGUAGAAUUCCCGGUGUAGCGGUGAAAUGCGUAGAGAUCGGGAGGAAUACCAGUGGCGAAGGCGGCCUUCUGGACUGACACUGACACUGAGGUGCGAAAGCGUGGGUAGCAAACAGGAUUAGAUACCCCUGUAGUA